rnacentral:rRNA from 1 species
AACGAACGCUGGCGGCGUGGAUAAGACAUGCAAGUCGAACGGGAAUUCAUUUAUAGCAAUAUGAAGGAAUUCUAGUGGCGAAAGGGUGCGUAACACGUAGCUACCUACCUCGAAGUUGGGGAUAGCUCGGCGAAAGCCGGAUUAAUACCGAAUGUGAUCGUGAGAUCAAAGUUGGGGAUCGUAAGACCUGACGCUUUGAGAUGGGGCUGCGGCCUAUCAGGUUGUUGGCGGGGUAAUGGCCCACCAAGCCUAAGACGGGUAGCUGGUCUGAGAGGACGACCAGCCACACUGGAACUGAGACACGGUCCAGACACCUACGGGUGGCUG